CCCCUCUACCGAGGACUAACACUUACCCUGCUCCUCUGAGCCCUCAUCCAGUAUUUAUUCAAGGGGGAGCUGCGACGUUUUCACGGAGGAUGGACGAACCGAUCCUUUGUCAGUCCAGGCACCGCCGCGUUCACCGACCUCUGGACCGCUGAAUCCGUUUUCAGGAUCCAGUAAAUGUCCCAGCCAAUUCCCGGGAUCUAAUCCUGCUCCUGAUCCGCGCCAAAGGACACGUAACCUCUCUGGGUCUCCAGGGCCAAAGGUUUCCAAGAAGGUGCAUUUCAUCAAGAAUAUGAGACAGUAUGACACUCGAGGGAGCAGGUGAGUUGGCGGGUCUGAUAUUGUUUGGGAAAUAUUUUCCCUGUGAGGAGGAGCUGUAUUUGUUUAAUCUUUUUGAGAAAUAAUCUGUAUAAAUUACUUCAGACCAGGGGUCUUCAAGUUUUUGAGGAGCCUUCGAGCACAAAUAAAACAGAGUUGAUUUUUGAGCUUGGCCAAUAAUAGCAUGAAUAUAAUGUAGUACCCUAAUAACGUAUUUACAGUUUUCAUACUUUAUGAAUCUUGCAUUGCAAAGCCAAUUUAACUCUUACAUAAUCAUUAUUGAGUCAAAUUAAUAAAUUGCAUAUUCAUUUUAAAACCUUUCAACGAAGGAAAACAAUGAAACAUUUAAUUUUAACUUCUUAACUUAUUAAUAAAAAAAAAUUACUUAUAAUUUUUAACUUUCUAUCAAUAUUAGUUUUUGUAUUUUUUUAUUAACAAUCUUGUUUAAUGCAUUUAUUUUAUUUUUAAUUUUCAGAAAUUAUUUUUAAAUAUAAUUGGUCCUUUGUUAGGCUAGUCCUUUAUUAGCACUUUCUUAUAAAUAACUUGUGUAGAAUGGAGGUGCUCAGACAGUCCCAUACUGGGCUCAUGUCAGAUAAGGUGAAUAUAAAAUGGUGAAGUGGAUGCUGGACUGUUUCCUCGUGCAGUAAAGUUCUUUGUUAUAUAACUGUAGUGUAAUCUCAUGCUGAGUGAAACAGUGGAGCUUCAGACAGACUCUGUGAUUCCUUGGUUAACUUAAUAACUGGCGUAAGUACUCACUGAGAUAACUCACUUAGGUUCUCACACAGACGAAAUGAGGGAUAGAUAUGUCUGUCUACACGAGGAACAACCAGU
rnacentral:lncRNA from 1 species